UCACUUAGGCAGCAAGUAUACCAACACUGGAACAAUACAGACAAGAUUUAGCAUGGUCCUUGUGCGAAGAUGACCUACAAAUUUGUGAAGUGUUCCUUUAUUUU
ensembl:snRNA U6 U6 spliceosomal RNA